CGGUGGAGCAUGUGGUUUAAUUCGAUGCAACGCGAAGAACCUUACCUGGUCUUGACUUCCACAGAACUUAGCAGAGAUGCUUUGGUGCCUUCGGGAUCUGUGAGACAGGUGCUGCAUGGCUGUCGUCAGCUCGUGUUGUGAUAUGUUGGGUUAAGUCCCGCAACGAGCGCAACCCUUAUCCUUUGUUGCCAGCGGUCCGGCCGGGAACUCAUAGGAGACUGCCAGUGAUAAUCUGGAGGAAGGUGGGGAUGACGUCAAGUCAUCA
rnacentral:rRNA from 1 species